rnacentral:lncRNA from 1 species
CCUGGAUCCGCCACUGCGGUACCUAGAAUGUUUUCAUUAACAAGCCGAAAUUUCAUCAUUCCUGCCUAAGUUAGUGGCUCUCCCCGUUCUGUCUGGUUCCAUCAUCGUCAAAAAAAAAAAACCGCGGUCCACCACAAGUCUCAAUAGAUAAAAGACAAUUCAGUUAAACAUAAUCAUUUGUCAAUCAAUUUACCCUUAAUAUGACCGUGACGAACGGUCCGAAAUAGCAGAGACAUAUAAUCAUAAAUAAACUCUUUAGAAUAUAUGUUUCUGGAAAUAAUUAUAAGACUAAAACUAGCAUAUCAAAGAUGCCAGGAGUUUAUUUAAUUUCACUUUCGGAUAUAUUGAUGAGUUGCUUCGAACUUUUAGGACCCACAGAACUAAGGAUAGGUCCAGUAAGACCCUUUGGCCCAAAUAGCAGUUUUACAAAAUUGUUAAAAUGCAAACUUUAGUUAUUUAUUGGAAAGUAGAAUGCUCAGUUCUGCUACAUAAAUAUGCGCUGUUUUUUUACUAUACAGUUGCAAAUAUAUAUCGGUUACUAGCAUCAUUAAGUCAUGCUAAAUUACUGAAAUCUUCACAAUUUUAGCAUUUUAGUUAAAUUUUAGACGGUUUUCACGGUCUUAAAUGAAAGUGGCCGUAUUUGUGUUCAUUGUUAAUAUUGAAAUGUUAGUUGUAUUUGAUGAUAAUACAUAACAUAUAGAGAUUGAGGAUGAACACGGAUGCGCUCACUUUCAAUUUUGACAAAAAACAUCUGAAAAGUGACAUUUUUGACAUAUUUAAGAGAUUUUUCAUAUUUAAACUUAAAUCGGAGCGUUUUUAAUGAGUAAAUCAGUUACAAUCUUUCACAUAAACCAAUUCAAUGAACUGAAAUAGACAUGUACUUAAGUUUUUAAAAAGUGUCCAAAAUCUUUCGUCAGAUGAACCUGAAAUUUGAGGCCAAAAUCGGCCCUUACCGGACCUACACAUUUAAGAAAACAACAAACACGGCUUAUUCCGCCUCAUUUUUAGACUUAUACCUCGAAUUUGACAAAACACAGUCAUCUCAGUACCACUAUCUAUGUUAAACAAGACGGUUUUAAUGUUUAAAUUAUCAAGUCCCCACACCUUAUAUUUAUUAGCAACUGAAUAUAAAACAGUCUGCAUAUGGGAUAUACAUUUUCCCACAUUUCCCUAAUUUAUUUGGUAUUCAAGAGCUUAAUUUAAUUUAAUUCAUUAUUAUUUAAAGAGGAUUGCCAACAGCCAGAGGCUACGUGUGGGUCUCCUCAACAUAGAUAUAUACAGAUUCACAAUUAUCAAAGUUUUGAAUACAAACAUGUUAAACACAAUACAAGACAAUAUGUACAGGACAAGACAUACAAAUAUAAUUUGACUACACACCCAUCCAAUCACUCGCUCAUUCUUACUCACAUGCACACGACUUAACACACAUGUAUGAUUCAGUAAUAUAGAAUAGUGAUUAUGGAAAGACAAUUUUGAGCACAAUCAGGUCAAAUGGAAUAUGUGUUUCAAACCUUAUAUGUUUUAUUACAAAAAAAAAAGUUAAAGAACAAAUAAGCUUGCAGCUCCUACUCAGACUUUGCAUGUAAAACGUCAACAGUGACUGUGUCUGAGCAGAACGUUGAUGAACCAGGCCUGAGGGGUAUAUAUAUAUAUGUCUAAAAACGUAUCGUCCUUUUUCUAACUAGAAGUUCCCCUGAAGUUAUCAAGACAAUAAAUAUUCCGUAUCAAACUAACAAAUAAUACACGAUGGUCUUGAAGUAUAGAUUAUGCAUGCGUAAUGACUUCUUUUUUUAAAUCUUAAUAACGUGCUAUACUUAAUAGUAUUCAUUGAAUUCAAGACUUGUUGGUGACCUUCUGCUGUUGUCUGCUCUAUGGUCGGGUUGUUGUCUCUUUGACACAUUCCCCAUUUCCAUUCUCAAUUUUAUUUUAUUUAUCUUUAUUAACAUGUAAUACUUCUUUUACUCGACGGUUUUGUCAGUUUUUUGUGACGGAUAUUCAUUUGACAUGACAUAACUUAGGCUUUUGUAGUUCGUUCUUAUGUUGUACUGUUAUACCACUGUCCCAGGUUAGGGGGAGGGUUGGGAUCCCGCUAACAUGUUUAACCCCGUCACAUUAUUUAUGUAUAGGCCUGUCCCAAGUCAGGAGCCUGUAAUUCAGUGGUUGUCGUUUGUUUAUGUGUUACAUAUUUGUUUUUCGUUCAUUUUUUUUUACAUAAAUGAGGCCGUUAGUUUUCUCGUUUGAAUUGUUUUACAUUGUCUUAUCGGGGCCUUUUAUAGCUCAAUAUGCGGUAUGGGCUUUGCUCAUUGUUGAAGGCCGUACGGUGACCUAUAGUUGUUAAUGUCUGUGUCAUUUUGGUCUUUUGUGGAUAGUUGUCUCAUUUGCAAUCAUACCACAUCUUCUUUAAUUUUUAUAUAUUCGGUUAUUGAAUCUUAUUCUGCCGAGGAUAUGCAUAAAAGGGACUUAAAGAACUAUGAAUAUAUUCUGUUCAUACUUUGAACGACAAAACAAUUUUAUAUCUACUUGUGUGACGUUUAAAUAAGCUGAACAACUAAUGUACGUCAAACGCACGAUUCUACGUCAUAGUUAAUGCUAACCUAACCAUGUGCCGCUCAGAGCAAGGAUUUGGUCCCAGUAUUUAAAAUCGUAAAACAAAAAAGCAAUGAAUAAGGUUGCUAAAUUAGGAGUAGGUCCGGUAAGGGCUGAUUUUGGCCUCAAAUUUAAAGUUCAUCUGACGAAAGAUUUUAGACACUUUUUAAACACUUAAGUGUCUAUUUCAGUUGAUUCAAUAAGUUUAUGUGAAAUUUUUUAACUGAUUUACUUAUUAAAAACGCUCCAAUUCUAGCUUAAAUAUGAAAAAUGUUUCAAAUAUGCCCAAAAUGUCACUUUUCAGAUGUUUUUGUCAAAAAUGAAAGUGGCCGCAUCCGUGUUCAUCCACAACCUUUAUAUAUAUAUAUAUAUAUAUAUAUAUAUGUUAUGAAUCAUAAAAUACAACUUACAUUUCAAUAUUAAGAAUGAUCACGAAUGCGGCCACUUUCAUUUAAGACGGAAACCGUCUAAAAUUUAACUAAAAUGCUAAAAUUGUGAAGAUUUCAGUAAUUUAGCAUGGCUUAAUGAUGCUAGUACCCGAUAUAUGUGCAUUGUAUUGUCAAAAACAGGCCAUAUUUAUGUAGCAGAAGCAUUUUACUUUCCAAUGAAUAACUAAAAGUAUACAUUUUAACAAUUUUGUAAAACUGCUAUAUUUUGAGGGCCUUACUGCACCUACUCCUUUAAUAUAUACCUUUUUCUAUCUCUUGUUACAAUUUUGUUUGUUUUAUAGUAAUAAUAACACAAUGUUGACUGCUGUACCCCUAUUUUUGACAUUUUUACCUAUUGUGUCUGUUAGUUUUGUUCACGCAUCGUUUGAAUUAUAAUGGAAUUUGAUGCGACUGUAAUAUAAGUGAGAUAAGCUAUAUAUAUAGCUAGCUAUAAGACCAGGUUCAUGCAAAAAGGAAAAAUCACAAAAAUACUGAACUCCGAGGAAAAUUCAAAAAGGAAAGUCCCUAAUCAAAUGGCAAAAUAAAAAGCUCAACACAUCAAACGAAUGGAUAACAACUGUCAUAUUCCUGACUUGGGACAGGCACUUUCUUAUGUAGGAAAUGUCGGGUUGAACCUGGUUUUAUAGCUAGCUAAACCUAGCUCUCACUACGCGCAUUCGUGAGUUAAUGUAUUGUUCGGUUACUCGUUGAAUAUUUUUCUCUGUGUUGCCAGCAUUCAUUUAAAAUUAUUUCCCACUAUAAAAUCAUUCAUCAAAGUAUCAAUUCGAUCAUCUGAUAACUAUGAUGUUGUCUCUGUGAUGGAAAAAAGAAUUAAAAGUAUCCCGCCUGGUUCUCACUUAUCCCUUAACCAAUACUUAUCUUAUUUCUUAUCUAUGAAAACUCAGUGAAUGCCGUAUUUGCUCUUUGCUCUUUGCCUUUGUCUUUCUAAAUAUGCAUAUGUGAGCUGUCAAUAUGAUACAGACUAAUGCAAGUGGGACAGAAUGACCUCACAAGUACCUCGUCGCUUUACAAUUUGAAUUAUUUGUAAAAAAUCUACGCAAUGAAUGGUGAUGGCAUUCUUUGUCCAAUGAAAGAUGUUUUUUUUACGUGUAAAUAAGAUAAAGAUUAUGGCUACAGUAUCAUAAUCAUUUGAUCACCUCCACAUUGAAUUGUUGUACGACACACAACAUACUAAAUCGCGGUACGAUCUUGUCUUUUUCUGGUUUAGUUUUCAAAAUCGCAACUUUUUGCUGAUAAAUGAUAAACAAUACGACGUAAAUCUUUUAUACAAAUAUCAUGAUUGGUCCUUAGGAAUGGUUCAUAUUCAAGGUUGAAUCACCUCUUAUCACCACUUAUGAUGACCUUUCAGUAAAAUAGUCCAAUUGUGUAAGCAAGUAAAAAUGGUGAGUGUAAAACUAUGAUGAUUAUAAUUUCAGUCUAAUCAAUUUCCUACGAUGACAUAAUUUACCCCUGGUUUUUUUUUGUGGGGUUCGUGUGUGGAUCAGCUGCCUGUACUUUUGUGCUGUGUUUUUGGUUACUGUUUUUCUUUUCUUGUUUUGCCAUCGAGUCAUUUUAUUUUCGACUUACUAGUUUGAAUUUUAUUUUUGGUAUUUUCAUUCUCUUACUUUAAAAUAGACAUGGCACGUGAAAUUGAAAGAAAAUGAAGCAAUUAUCAAUUUUAAAUGAAGUAGAGUAAUUCUGGUACUUGUUGUAUGAAUAUUUAUCAAUUUACAUUUACCUUUAUUGUUCCCAUUGACAUUUUCAUACUAUGUUAAAGAGUUUGUACUGUAUAAAUUCUAGAAAGAUUCAUCUUAUGCUAAAAUUUGGAUAUUCACGAGCCUCUAUGAGGUAUUAAGGUGCAUUGGAAUAUUAACGAACAUUUAUGCAUUGACAAAUUAACGAGCAUUUAGAUAUUAUGCAGAAAUUAAAUGUGGUUCCUUAAACUUCAGAGAUCCAAUAUAUUUUGCACAUAUCGUCAUAAACAUAUACAUACACUGGACACUAACCAACCAAUAAUUAUUCAGCAUGUUAAUUUCUUAUCCGUUUCAUUUGUUUCCAUACUGAAAUAAAUCAGGUAUAAAAGACAUGAUUUUAAAUAAUGCUCUUCACAUUACAUAUAAUGUUAAUUUUUUUCAUUAUUUUGGUUUACUGGAAAUAAACUCAUCAUAGAUACCAGGACUAAAUUAGUAUAUACGCCAAACGCGCGUUUCUCUACAAAAGACUCAUCAAUGAUGCUCGAAUCCAAAAAAAUUUAAAAAGGCCAAAUAAAGUACGAAGUUGAAGAGCAUUGAGGACCAAAAAUUCCUAAAAGUUUUGCCAAAUACAGCUAAGGUAAUCUAUGCCUGAGGUAGAAAAGCCUUAGUUUUUCAAAAAAAUCAACAAUUUGUAAACAGUAAAUUUAUAAAUAUAACCAUAUCAAUGAUAAUUCAUGUCAGCACAAAAAGUGCUGACUACUGGGCUUGUGAUACCCUUGGGGAAAUAAAGAAGAAGAAACUAAUAAAAACAAUUCUAAUAAAAACAACUCAAAAGAUCAAAAGAGAUAUUCAACUGCACAAGCUAUUUUUAAAAGGUAGGCUAGAAUGUUCCAGAGUUGUAAAAAGUAAAACCACAAAGAUACUGCACUCCGAGGAAAAUUCAAAACGGAAAGUCCCCAAACAAUACAUGAUACAUUGCUGAUAGAUUUCUUUCUUUUCACUUUCUUAGUAACCUGUAUUAAUGAUACAAUGGUUGGAUUAUUUUGAAACAAGAUAUCAUAAAAUCAAAAUCUCACAUUUGAAAUUCGAAUCUAUCGUUCGUCAUUAAUUAAAAAUACUGGACUUGUUAUAUUCAAAUGUCACAUAGAACUUUUAGGUAACAAUGAUCGUUUUAUGUGCAGUAAUAUUCCCUCAUAAUUAUUGAAGAACGUUUGGACUAAAUUAGAAUAUAUGAAUAAAAUUGAGAAUGGAAAUGGGGAAUGUGUCAAAGAGACAACAACCCGACCAAAUAAAAACAACAGCAGAGGGUCACCAACAGGUCUUCAAUGUAGCGAGAAAUUCCCGCACCCGGAGGCGUCCUUCAGCUGGCCCCUAAACAAAUAUAUACUAGUCCAGUGAUAAUGAACGCCAUACUAAUUUCCAAAUUGUACACAAGAAACUAAAAUUAAAAUAAUACAAGACUAACAAAGGCCAGAGGCUCCUGACUUGGGACAGGCGCAAAAAUGCGGCGGGGUUAAACAUGUUUGUGAGAUCUCAACCCUCCCCCUAUACCUCUAACCAAUGUAGUAAAGUAAACGCAUAACAAUACGCACAUUAAAAUUCAGUUCAAGAGAAAUCCGAGUCUGAUGUCAGAAGAUGUAACCAAAGAAAAUAAACAAAAUGACAAUAAUACAUAAAUAACAACAGACUACUAGCAGUUAACUGACAUGCCAGCUCCAGACUUCAAUUAAACUGACUGAAAGAUUAAUAAACUCAUCAUAGAUACCAGGAUUGAAAUUUAAUGUUUACGCCAGGCAGGCGUUUCGUCUACAAAAGACUCAUCAGUGGCGCUCGAAUAAAAAAUGUGAAAAUGCCAAAUAAAAUACGAAGUUGAAGAGCAUUGAGGACAAAAAAUUCCUAAAGUUUUGCCAAAUACAGCUAAGGUUAUUUUUUCCUUGGGUAGAAAGCCUUGUUUUUUCCAAAAUUGAAACUUUUGUUGACAUUAAAUUUAUAACUAUGAACAUAUCAAUGAUAACUCAAAUGAUAACUCAAGUCAACACAGAAGUGCUGACUACUAGGCCGGUGAUACCCUCGGUGAAUUUAAACUCCACUAGCAGUGGCAUCGACCCAGUAGUUGUAAAUAAACUCAUCAUUGAUACCAGAAUUGACCAGGAUUGAAACUUGAUAUUUACGCUAGAUAGCAAUAAGGGAAUAGUAGUUUUCCAAUGCUAAAAUCUCUCAAAUCCAUAAAUAUACAGUGAAGGUAUUGUAUGAAAUACAAAAAUAAACAGCUGCGUCAUGAGCGCAUGAUACGCCCGAUGUCUUGUGUGGAAGUUUUAUGCAAUAAUCAUAGUUUCUGAGAAAGUUUUAAGCAGUAACCAUAUAUUAUUCUUGAACACGACAGGACAUGUGAAACCCCCACCCUGUUUUUUUUUUUUUUUUUUACAAAAAAGUAAAUAUCACUAAAAUGAAAUUUUGAAUCAAAACCAAAAAGUAUACAGAUCUUUAGAUUAAUAUAACAAAGAAUUUGUGUAAAGUUUUAAGCAAUAAUCAUAAGUUGUUUUUGAGAUACGGCACAACCUUUUUUUACAAAAUACUCAAUAACUCAAAAAUGAAAUUUUGAAUCAUCACCAAAAAGUAUACAGAUAUUGAGAUAUAUAUAACUAAGAAGUGUUUAAAGUUUUAAGCCACAAUGAAGAAUCGUUUUUGAGAUACGGUGCGACAUGUGAAAAAAACACACCCCUGUUUUAGUUACAAAGUGCCGUAACUCAAAAAGUUUUAAUCUUAUUUUCACCAAAAAGUAUACAGAUCAUUUGACCAUCAUAAGAAACAACAAAGUUUCAUGAAAUUUGGAUAAGUCGUUCUCAAGUUACGGUGCGACAUGUUUACGCCGGACAGACAGACGGACAGACAGACGGACGGACACCGGACAUUUGUAUACCAUAAUACGUCCCGUCAAAAUUUUGACGGGCGUAUAAUAACGAUGCAUGAUGCUUUGAUAUGACCAGCAUCGAUUAUGGCAUCAGUCUAGAAUCCAGGAGCGUCGAGAGGGAAAACAUGUCCAAACAUCAAGGUUUCACCGUUGUGAAAUACAAGUCUUCUCGUUACAGAUAAGCAAUGCUAUGUAAAAAUUGUACUUUUAAUUUGCCCCGACCACUUUAACGGCGGCUACUAGUGAAAAUACAUUUUAAAUCCUUUUUGUACAUCUGAGAUCAUGCUAAGUUUUGCGUACGGUUCGAGUUGCUUGGUUUUAAGUUUUCUGUAUAGAUCUUUGUAGGCUGUUGUAACAUAAUGUACACAGCCAUUUAUCAACACCACUGAUGGUGAUCCGAUGGAUAAAUAUGUUGUAGAGUUGUCACUGGCUCACACGUACUUAUAAAUAUAAUUAUUUUCUGUGACUGUAUCUUACAUUAAUUUGUACGAUCCUUUACUAUAGAUAAUUUAGCUGAUCUGUAAAAAUUACAUCUUCAUGCCUUAUAUAUCAUGUAUUGUAGUACGACGCUAGAUUAAAACUGACGUGGAAAGGUAACACCCAGUCACCGAAAGCUUCAUUUUUAUGAAGCCCAGGUGGUCGUGUGGUCUAGCGGGACGGCUACAGUGCCACGAUAUCUCAGUAGCAUGGGUUCGAAUCCCGGCGAGGGAAGAACGAAAAAUUGGCGAAAGCAAAUUAACAGAUCUAACAUUGUUGGGUAGAUGUUUAGACGAGUUGUAUAUACAUAAUGUACACAGCCAUGUAUCACCAUCACUGCUGGUGAUCCGAUGGAUAAAUCUGUUGUAGAGUUGUCACUGGCUCAGACGUACUUAUAAAUAUAAUUAUUUUCUGUGACUGUAUCUUACAUUAAUUUGUAGGAUUCUUUACUAUAGAUAAUUUAGCUGAUCUGUAAAAAUAACAUCUUCAUGCCUUACAUAUCAUGUACUGUAGUACGAGGCUAGAUUAAACCUGACGUGGAAAGGUAUCACCCGGCCACCGAAAGCUUCAUUUUUAUGAAGUCCAAGUGGUCGUGUGGUCUAGCGGGACGGCUACAGUGCAGGCGAUUUGGUGUCACGAUAUUUCAGUAGCAAUGGUUGGAAUACCGGCGAGGGAAGAACGAAAAAUUUGCAAAAGCAAAUUUACAGAUCUAACAUUGUUGGGUUGAUGUUUAGACGAGUUGUAUAUACAUUAUGUACACAGCCAUGUAUCACUAUCAAUGUUGGUGAUCCGAUUGAUAAAUCUGUUGUAGAGUUGUCACUGGCUCAGACGUACUUAUAUAUAUUAUAUAAAUAUAUUGUUUUUCAAUAUUUUACUUUUUGUUUGAUGGAUGUGUUUUCCUAUUGAAUUGUUUGUGAUUUUUUUGUAUGUUUGUAUAAUUUUUCACACACUUAUUGUUAAGAGUUUUUAUGACAAUACAUAUUUUGAAUUGAAUUGAUAUAAGUGUCAUUGAAUCUGUGGUAAGGGUUAUUAUACUAGGUUAAAUCACAUCUUAUCUGUCAAAUAGUCAAAGUGUGAUCAAGACAAAAGUGAGUGAAAAGCUAGGCAUACAUGUACUUAUUCGUUGUAACUUAAGUUCUUCAAUAUUCUUGUGAUAAGCUUUUCAAUUAGGUAACACGACAUGUGAAAUGGACAUAAAAUGAACCAAACACCAAACUUAGAGGAGAAAUUCUAACGUGUAAAUUGCAUAAUGGUUUAUAUGGUACCAGUUGUUAAUCAAUUUAUGUUUAUCCUUAUAAUACCUAUGGAGCUUUCGACAUCAUAAAAACUGUAUAUACUCAAAAUAUCAAAUUCAGAGUUGAAUAAAAAAGGGAGAGGUUCCUAAAAUAUGACACUACCAAAAGCUCGCCUAAAUCAAUCAACUAAUUGAACGACUGGAAAUCGACUGUCAUAUUCCAGGCUUGCUAUUGGCGUUUUCUGAAGAAGUAAAAUUACUGGUUAAGGAAAGUUGUACCAAAGUGAGACUGGAGGAUGUAAAACAUAACUUUUUGAAAAAUUAAAAAUUUUAUAAACAGUAAUUUUGCAUAUGAUAAUCAUAUUAAUGAUUUUUCGUGUCACCGAAAAAGCUCUGUUUACAUAGCAGGUGAUACACUCGCGGACUAAACGUUAAUCAGCAUUUGCACCAACCCUUUGAUUGUACACAGUCAUCAAUGUUUAUAUUGUUUCAAAUUAUUAACAUAAGAAAGGAAUUAGUAGAAACAACAAAACAACCUUUUUGCGCCUGUCCUAAGUCUCUGACCUUUAUAAGUCUUGUAUGAUUUUUUUUGUUUUAGUUUCUUUUAUAUAUUUCGGAGUUAAAUACAUUAACAUUAAACUAAUACACAUUUUUGUUUAGGAGCCAGCUGAAGCACGCAUCCGGGUGUGUGAUUUUCUUGCUGUAUUGAACUCUAAAUACAAAAUUGAAAAUAAAUAGCAAAAAGUAAAGAAUAGUGGUUAAAAGAACAGAGAAUAGAAAAAAUAGGGAAAAAUAAUUGAAAGGAUAAUAAUUGGGUACUUAUGUAUAUAUAUAUAUUGGUGGUCCUUCACUUAUGUAAUCUUUAAAAUACAUUAUGUAUAUAGAAUUCGUCUAAAUAUCAGCCCAGCGAUCUCAGAUCUUUAUAUUUGCGGACGCUAUUUUUUUGUUCUUCCCUGACCGGUAUUCGAACUCGUGCUGCUGAUUUGACCACCUACGUAACACAUAAAUAAAACAGAAUUAUGGACCAAACAAUAUAAAGAAUAGAGAAUAAAGAGCCAAAAAAUAUAAUGAAGAGAGAUAAAUAUAGAUACAAGGUUUGAGAAUUUUUUAUUUGCGCCAGAUGUAAGUUUCGUCUAAAAAAAGACUCAUCAGUGACGAUCGAAUAAAAAAAGCUACAAAUUUUCAAAAAAAGUACGGAGUUAGAGAGCAUUUUGGACCACAAUUUCCUAAAAGUUUUACCAAAUUCAGCUAAGUUAAUCUAUUCCUGACGUAGACCAGCAGUAGUAUUUGUAAAAUUCAAUGUUUUGUAAACAGUUAAUUUAUAGUAAUGACCAUACCAAUGAUAAUUCAUUUCAACACACAAAUGCUGACUACUGGGCUGGUGAUACCCUCGACGAAUAAAAACUCCACCAGCAGUGGCAUUGAUCAGAUAAAUGACCAUAACUGAAUUUUAAUAUGCGUAUUGUUAUGCGUUUACUUUUCUGCAUUGGCUAGAGGUAUAGAGGUAUAGGGGGAGAGUUGAGAUCUCACACACAUGUUUAACCCCGCCGCAUUUUUGCGCCUGUCCCAAAUCAGGAGCCUCUGGCCUUUGUUAGUCUUGUAUUAUUUUAACUUUUAGUUUCUUGUGUACUUUGGAGUUUAGUAUGGCGUUCAUUAUCACUGAACUAUUAUAUAUUUGUUUAGGGACCAGCUGAAGGACGCCUCCGGGUGCGAGAAUUUCUCGCUGCAUUGAAGACCUGUUGGUGACCUUCUGCUGUUGUCUGCUCUAUGGUCGGGUUGUUGUCUCUUUGGCACAUUCCCCAUUUCCAUUCUCAAUUUUAUUAGCAUUGAAAAUCACAUAAACGAAGGACCACCAUUCAAACUCAAAGGUUAUACACAAACUCUAGAGUUAAAAUAAAUGUUUCUGUAUCAAUUUAGGUUUACCUGGCAUAUCUUAUGCUGUUUGUCUCCUCAGUUGGGAUGGUGGAUUCGUGUUUCUUUUAUCCGAUUAAUGGAAUAAUAACCAAUUGGUACAGGACUUUCCGAGGACAUGGAAUUCUGGAAUCUUUGUAUGCUAAGCGGUGUCUAUUCGUCAAACACGGAAGCUUGAGAUGGAAGGAUUUUGUCUUGAUUCGACAUCCUGUAAGUCAAACAAUAUACGUAACAAAUCAGCUUGAUAUUUGGUCAGUUGAUGAAAAUAGAUGUCAAAAAAGAAUUUCUUUUUUUCAGUCUAAGUUUUUUUUAACUUUAAAACCAUGCUGACUUAAAAAAAAAAAAAAACAAUGUUAUACAUCUAGGCUUGUACGAUUUACCCUUUUAGAUAUUUCAACCAAGUUACAAAAUGUCAGAUCUAUGCAUACUUUAAUGAUCAAUUCACUGAAAUAAUCAAAUUUUAAUUAAAAAUGGUAGUUAUCCUAUUUAAUUAAAUGGUCGUUUGGUAAAGCUGAAUGCAAAUAUAUUUGCUGCAACUCAUUUAAAGCCUUCUUCUCUAAUGAGAAAGGUAAAUAUGCUAGAUAUACUUACUGGAGGUGUGAUUAGGUGAUUGAAGCUGUUAAUUUUCUCCUUGAUAAUAUUUAUGUACGUUUCAGCAACAAAGUUUAUCGACAGGUUGUAGGUAUCCCCAUGGGCACUAAUUGUGCCCCUUUAAUAGCAGACUUGUUUUUGUACUGUUACGAAUCACAGUUUAUGACUUUACUCAGGAAAGACUCGUCGAAAUUGCAUUUAAUUGAUAAGUUUAACAACACUUACCGUUAUCUUGAUGAUAUUUUUUCGUUAAAUAACCAAGAAUUUUCUCAAUAUACUGCUGAAAUUUACCCCAAGGAACUUACUUUUAAUAAAUAAAAUUUAUACGGUAAUAACUGCCCUUUCCUGGAUUUAGAUAUUUCGGUUUUAACGGCGAAAACUCCAACUAAAUUCUACGACAAAAGAGACGAUUUUCUUACGUCCUAUGUUAUUUUCCAAUUUUAUAUGAUGAUGUUCUUUAGGUACCAUGAUUCCGGUGUUUAUAUUUCACACUGCUCCUAUGCCCGGUCUGUUGGUCGUUUUUGGUUAAACGAACGCAAUCUAUGUUAACUGGUAAAUUUUAAACCAGGGAUAUCGUAACCAUAAAUUACUUAAAACUUUUAUUUUUUCCAUAGAUAUAAAGAUUGGUUUUGAAGUCUGUUGUCCUGUAGAAUAACUUAUUUCAAACGGGAUAACACACUCUCAUUUUUACGGAAAUGUUGUUAACCGUGCCCGAAAAUUUAAAUGAUCCAUUGUAAACUUUCGCUCCUUGAAAUUAACUUAUUCUAAGUUAACUAUUCAAAGUGUAAUUAGAGCAUUGAAUAUUGUUUAUUGGUAUAAUUUUGAUUUUGUUAUCAGUAAAUUAAAACUAACUAAUAUUACUAGUAAUAUUUAUAUUCAUUAUAUUCAUUGAUCUACAAUAUGUCGAUACCUGUAACUUGGCAUUGCACAAGGUAAUAUUUUUUUCUGGCUGUUUAUGAUUAACUAAAUCCAUUGGAUGUUGAUGUGUACUGAUUGAUAGUUAGUCUUAGAUGCAUGAUUUUUUUAUUAGUUGUUAGUGGCUUUGAAGUAGCUGUCAGUAACUUACUCUCAGAUCUGUCAUUGUGUCUUUUAUGUCGGGAUGUAUAAGUACCCGGUCACGUCCACUUGUGUUUUUGUCCAUCUGACGAAAAAAAGCCUUUUUCAACUGAUUUUAUAGUUCGUUCUUAUGUUGUACUGUUAUACCACUGUCCCAGGUUGGGGAAGGUUGGAUCCCGCAUAUGUUUUAACCCCGAUAAUUAUUUAUGUAUGUGCCUGUCCCAAGUCAGGAGCCUGUAAUUCAGUAGUUGUCGUUUGUUUAUGUGUUACAUAUUUGUUUUUCUUUAAUUUUUUUAUAUUAAUAAGGCCGUUAGUUUUUUCGUUUGAAUUGUUUUACAUUGUCUUAUCGGGACCUUUUAUAGCUGACUAUGCGGUAUGAGCUUUGCUCAUUGUUGAAGGCCGUACGGUGCCUAUAGUUGUUAAUGUCUGUGUCAUUUUGGUCUCUUGUGGAUAGUUGUCUCAUUGGCAAUCAUACCACAUCUUCUUUUUUAUAUUAAUCGAUUGUCAUUAGUAUGUUCAAUAUGAAAGUUAAUAUGUCUUUUCAAUUUAACAGAAAGGUAUAUUUACAACAUGAUAUGAUUGAGUUUUUUCCAACAUGUAUAGGAUCAGACCGUAUCGACAUUCGAGGUAUUCCGAUAUUUAUGUUGAGUAUACAAUGUAUGUGUCCCUGCAAGUCCCAACUUAGUAAUUUAAAUCCCCUUGUGGUGUUAUAAUCAUCAAUGAUAUUUAACUUCGUACUUUAUUUGGCCUUUAACAUUUUUUAUUCGAGCGUCUCUGAUGAGUUUGUUUGUAGACGAAACGCACGUCUGGCGCAAAUAUGAAAUUUUAAUCCGGGUAACUAUGAUCAGUUUAUGGUACAUUUUUGUGUUUUUCUCUAUCAUUUUGACUGUUGUGCGUUGUCAUGUGCAUUUUUUGUUUUUCAUUGUUUAUAUAUUUCUUUAUUUUUAUAAUGGUUAAGAUUAUAAUACAAUAUUGACUGGUGUACCCCUAUUUUUGACACUUUUACCUGUUAUUAUAGAGGUAAAAUAAGACUAAACUCAUAUUCUUCAUGUAAAAUCAAACUCAGAACAAGAAUGACAGUUAACAUGUUAAACUUGUCAAAACAGUGAAAUUGCAUGCGACUGUCAUACAAGUGAGAGGUUUCUCUAGUUGUGAAAACAAGUUCAAUCCAUCAUUUUAAACAAAACAGAAAUGUCUGUACCAAGUAAGGAAUAAGACAGUUGUAAUCCAUUUGUAUUUUUGGCUUUUUUGCUAUUUGCUGAUGGACUUUCCGUUUAGAAUUUCCCGCGGAGUUCUGUGGUUUUGAUAAUUUACUAUUAUUUCUGUUUCAUCAAUGGCGUAAUUUUGAAAGUGCUAUAUAUUAUAUGAGUAUAAAAUAUUUUUUAUUGUUUGUUUUUUUUUUCUUUCCGCAAUAUUCUGUCCACUGUUUACUUGAAAACAUCGUGAGUAGAAAAAUGUAUUGAUUUUGUAAUACAUGUAAUUUAUUUGCUAGGCUGCUGGUCAAAUAUGGGUAAAAAAGGACCGAGGUCACUGUGGAAUCCUUGAUUGUUGUGGUAAGAGAUUUUGUCUGCAGACAAAUAUAAAUGUUGUCAAAGAAAAGAGGGACGAAAGAUGCCAAAGGGACAGUCAAACUCAUAAAUCUAAAACAAACUGACAACGCCAUGGCUAAAAAUGAAAAAGACAAACAACCAACAGCACACAUGACACAUCAUAGAAAACUUAAGAAUAAACAAAAUACACAUGCAUAUCGGAGAUUUUUUUCAACCUUCUCCUGAUUCACGAAAAUCAUUCUACCAUUAAUAGAAAGAGAAAGAUACCACGGUGGAACAAACAAAUCGGUAGAAAAUAUAAUGAAAUGGCUAUAGCAUAAAAAUGAAAAAGAGAGAAAAAAAAAGGUACACAAAGUACAACAUAGAAAACUAGGACUGAUAAAUAAGGGCAACAGUAGUAUACCACUGUUCAAAACUCGUAAAGCUAUGGACAAAAAACAAAAUCGGGGUAACAAACUAAAACUGAGGGAAACGCAUUAAAUAUAAGAGGAGAACAUCGACACAACAUUAAAAGCCACACGAAUCCCAACAAAAGCUAUUGUUUUAAGUACCUGCAGGAAUUCUACUUACUCUUUUGGUUUUUUUUUUAAUCGGUAAUUUGGAUUGGUUUCCAUAUACAUGGUUUACUACGUUAAUGUUAAAAAUCCUCAGGCGAUUUUUACGUUUUUGUCUACACCAAACUCAUCAAUGACGCUCGAAAAUCUAAAACAAUGAAAGGAAAAUUUCCAAAAGUAAUUUCAGUUUUCAGAUAUUGUAACCUUUACCGAUUGAAUACGUCUUAAGAUUUUCAAACAAAUGUCCAAAUACUUAAGGAAUGACUGUAAUACUUUUUCUGUCUAUGAAGAAAUAACAUAAAAAAUAUUACAGUCAUUUCUUAUAAUUUAAUUCUAAAUUCCAUUUUAAACCGUAGAAAACCAUGAAAAACGUUGAUGACGUCACGGUCACAUGACUAAAUUAUGUCUAUGGGCUCAUAACAAAAUAACGUCAGCCAAUCAGAAGACGCUUUAAUCCAAAAUUCAAUUAUUUAUAAUAAUUGUAGUGAAUGAUGUUAUGUUUGUUUUCAAAUUUUUAUAUUCAAUAAAUAGGAACUCAUCAGCCCGUAUACAACUAUUGCAUGCUGAAUCGGUGCCAAAAUGGAGGCAAAUGUAUAAACAAUAAUGAUGGGUACACAUGAUGUUCUAUGUUAUACUGGAAAACAUGCGACAUGGCAAGUAUGUACAACAUGUAUGGAAAAAAAGAAGAUGUGCUAUGAUUGCCAAUGAGACAACUAUCCAAAAAGAAAAAAUGAACAGAAUUAUCAAUAUAGGUCAACGUACGCCUUCAACAAUGAGCAAAGCCCAUACCGCAUAGUCAGCUAUAAAAGGCUCCGAUAAGACAAUGUAAAACAAUUCAAACGAGAAAACUAACGGCCUUAUUUAUGUAAAACUAGAGGCUCUCAAGAGCCUGUGUCGCUCACCUUGGUCUAUGUGCAUAUUAACAAUGGACACAGAUAAAUUCAUGACAAAAUGGUGUUUUGGUGAUUGUAAUGUGUUUGUAGAUCUUUCUUUACUGAACAUUCAUGUUGCUACACUUAUCUCUAUCUAUAAUGAACUUGGCCCAGUAAUUACAGCGGAAAAAAGUUCCUAAAAAUUUACAAAAAUUAACAAAAAUUUAUGAAAAUUGUUAACAAUUGACUAUAAAGGGCAAUCACUCCUUAAGGGGUCAAUUGACAAUUUUGGUCAUGUUGACUUAUUUGUAGAUCUUAUUUUGCUGAACAUUAUUGCUGUUUAUAGUUUAUCUCUAUCUAUAAUAAUAUUAAAGAUAAUAACCAAAAUCUGCCAAUUUUUCUUAAAAAUUACCAAUUCAGGGGCAGCAACCCAACAACAGGUUGUCCGAUUUGUCAGGGUAGAUAGAUCGUGACCUGAUAAUCAAUUUAACCUCGUCAGAUUUGCUCUAAAUGCUUUGGUUUCAGAGAUAUAAGCCAAAAUCUACAUUUCACCCCUAUGUUCUAUUUUUAGCCAUGGCGGCCAUCUUGGUUGGUUGGCCGGGUCACGCUACACCUUUUUUUAAUUUAGAUACCCCAAUAAUGAUUGCGGCCAAGUAUGGUUAAAAUUGGCCCAGUAGUUUCAGAGGAGAAGAUUUUUGUAAAAGAUUACAAAAAUUUACGAAAAAUUGGCCAAAAUUGACUAUAAAGGGCAAUAACCUCUUAAGGGGUCAACUGAUAAUUUUGGUCAUGUUGACUUAUUUGUAGAUCAUACUUUGCUGAACAUUAUUGCUGUUUACAGUUUAUCUCUUUCUUUAAUAAUAUUCAAGAUAAUAACCAAAAUCUGCAAAAUUUCCUUCAAAUUACUUAUUUCGUGGCAGCAACCCAACAACCGGUUGUCCGAUUCAUUUGAAAAUUUCAGGACAGAUAGAUUUUCACUUUAUGAACAAUUUUACCCAGUCAGAUUUGCUCUAAAUGCUUUGGUUUCAGAGAUAUAAGUCAAAAUCUACAUUUUACCCCUAUGUUCUAUUUUUAGCCAUGGCGUCCAUCUUGGUUGGAUUGCCGGGUCACGCCACACAUUUUUUAAACUAGAUACACCAAAGAUGAUUGUGGCCAAGUUUGGAUUAAUUUGGCCUAGUAGUUUCAGAGGAGAAGAUUUUUAAAUAGAUUACUAAGAUUUACGAAAAAUGGUUAAAAAUUGUCUAUAAAGGGCAAUAACUCCUAAAGGGGUUAACUGACCAUUUCGGUCAUGUUGACUUAUUUGUAAAUCUUACUUUGCUGAACAUUAUUGCUGUUUACAGUUUAUCUCUAUCUAUAAUAAUAUUCAAGAUAAUAGCCCAGAAACGGUAUAAUUUCCUUAAAAUUGCAAAUUCCAGGGCAGCAACCCAACAACGGGUUAUAAUCCAAAAUCUACAUUUUACCCCUAUGUUCUAUUUUUAGCCAUGGCGGCCAUCUUAGUUGGUUGGCCGGGUCACCGGACUCAUUUUUUAAUAAGAUACCCCAAUUAUGUUUGUGGCCAAGUUUGGUUAAAUUUGGCCCAGUAGUUUCAGAGGAGAAGAUUUUUGUAAAAGUUAACGAUGACGACGACGAAGGACGACGGACGACGGACGACGGACGCCAAGUGAUGAGAAAGUCUCACUUGGCCUUUUAGGCCAGGUGAGCUAAAAAUGAACGAAAAACAAAUAUCUAACACAUAAACAAACGACAACCACUAAAUUACAGGCUCCUGAAGUCCAAGAACAAAAGCUUUUUUUGCUUAAAUAUCUUAAUAAUGAUAAUUACAGAAAACAAUGAUAAAUAAUAAAUAAAUGAUAUUGAAGUAUGAAAUUAUUAAAUAUGAAAAGAAAAUGAACAAAGAUUAAGUGGAGGCUACUGUUGAUAUCAGAAUCAAUCGGAAAAGUGCUUGUCUUAGAGAACAAAAUCUAUCAUAGACAAGAAAGAAACGUCUCAACCAAACGCUUAUUUUACCUUCAACUAAGAAACGAAUGCUUCUUUUUAUUUUGUUGGGGUGAAAAACACAAGUAAAGCACAAUUUGUGUACCUGAUAAAAUAGUUAUCAAAGGUACCAGGCUUAUAAUAAAUAACGCCAGAGGCCCGUUUCGUCUACCUAAGAAUCAUCAGUGACGCUCAGAUCUAAAAGUUUGAAGGCCAAAACAAGUACAAAGGUGAAGAGCAUUGAGGACCAAAACAUAUUACUUUUCUCUCAUAAUAGUCUCUCAAACAGAGGCGAACGAUACCAAACUGAAAGGGAUAUUAAAACUCAUAAGUCGAAAACAAACUGGCAAUGCCAGAGUAAAAACACGAAAAACAAUAAAACGACAAAGAGCAUACAUCAUAGAAUGCCAAUUAAGGCAACAAUAGUAUAUCACUGGGCAAUAGUUAUAAAUCGGUUGAGCAAAAACAAUUCCGGUUGACAAAAUUAAAACUCAGGGAAACAAAUAAUCUAAAUGAUAAUGCUAGUUUCUAUUUAUUCGUUAUUAGAAGUUACUAUAUGAAAGAGAACACGUUGACAAGAAUACACAUCGGAAUACCUAUUAUUUCCUGGAAAAAAAAACACGUCCGCAAAACAUAACAAAAAUGUUGUUAAUUCGGAAAUCAAGGCAUCCUGAUAAUGUCAGUUUCAGAGACUCUAAAAUCUAUUUAUUAUGAUCGAUUUUGACAUUUUAAUUUAUACUUCAGUUCAUCGGAUGUACGUUUCGUCUACAAAGGACUAGUCAGUGGUGCCCGAAUAAGCAAAUUUGAAGACUAAAUCUAUAAUAAAGUUCAAGAUAGAAAAUUGAAAACAAAAACAAUCAAAAGUUUGGCCAAAUCUGGCUUAGUCUAUGAUUUCCCACUGACAAAAUAUUCCAAGUGUUCCAUAUCAUUUUUAAAGUUUAGAGAACAGUAGAUUUACAGAAAAUCAGGCCAUCAAAGGAGUAUUGGGUUAUUCAUACCAUUGGUAACGAAACGUACCAAAUCAGAAAAAUGGCCUUUGUUAUAUACUAAAUAUUAUAGUUCGUUUCUGUGUGUGUUGCGUGUUAGUGUUUCUGUUGUGCCGUUGCUCUCCUCUUACAUUUGAUAUAUUUCACUCAGUUCUAGUUUGUAAACCGGAUUAGUUUUUGCUCAAUUGAUAUACUACUGUUGCCUUUAUUAAUGAGAUCUGUGGUUGCAAAGAAAACUUAUUAAAAGUUACCAAUCUUAUAAUUAUAUACGUUAGAUGCCUGUUUCAUCUACACAAUACUCGUCAGUAGCGCUCGGAUCAAACCAGAAUACCAAUUCUAGGACAAAUAUUUUUUACAAAAGAGUAUUGUGUUCGUGUCUUUAGCCCUAAACACAAUCACUUAACUUUUUGAUUUGCACAAACUUGAAAAUGUAGUGUAAAUCAUAAAAUGUUCAAUAUAAAGUAUAAAUGUAUAAGAUAAACAACAGGCUGCAUUUCAUAUAAGAUGUAUAAGAUAACAUCUCUGUAUUUCAGUAACCAAAGCUGCAGUCGCUACAACAUCAAAGCCAACAAGUACAUGUGUUGAUUCAUCAUUCUGCUACACUUCUGCUGCUUGUUACCUUGUACCAGAUAGUUGUCCUAAAUUGUGUGGGAAAUGUGGCAAGUAUUGAUAAGAAUUAGACACUGUGAUAAGAGGGGGGAUAUUUUUAAGAGGCUUUCUUGUUAUCAUAUCCAUAACUAUAAUCCAGUAUCAAAUUCUGCCUCAUAUCUUGACAUCUAGAAAUUGACAAUGAGGGUCGGUUGAAAACAAAAAAAUACUUUACGACAAAAGAGGCGAUUCCAGCUUCGCAUUUGUGAACUACCCAUUUCUAUGUAGCAACAUUCCAGCAGCGCCUCCAUGCAGAGUAUAUAUCUCCUAAUGAUAAGAUAUUCCCGUGCUUGUAUUUCCUAUCAUGCUUUCCUUGCUAGGGGAUUGCUGCUCACCAGGAAGCUAUUACACCAAGAGUUCCGUAUGGUGAAGUUGAAAUCAUCCCGUCGUAAAUAAUACGGACGCCAUCAUGAGUUGGUUGACCGUAAUCGAAUAACCGUUUCACAGAUGUUAUCGGAUAUGCAAAUCGUAACAAAAUCCCCUUCCCUUUUCAUGAAUGUGACCUACCGAAUUAGACUAUUUACCGGGUUUGUAAUAACAUGAGCCACACGACGGGUGCCAUAUUGGGAGCAGGAUUUGCUUACCCUUCCGGAGCACCUGAGAUCACUUCUAGCUUUAGGUGGGUUCGUGUUGCUUAGUCUUUAGUUUCCUAUGAUGUGUCUUGUGUACUAUCGUUUGCCUGUAUCAUCUUUUUUUCAUUUUUGAGCAUGGCGCUGUCAGUUUAUUUUCGAUUUGUGAAAUUGGCUGUCCCUCUGGUAUCGUGCACCUUUCUUUUAUAUAUGAAUAUAUGGUAUAGUGUUUUUUGUUGUUGUUGAAACAGAACGGCGACCUAUGAUCAUAUAUAACACUACAGUAUUGAGUACAGGAAAUAUUCAUGGGUCAUUUUUUGAAUUGAUGGUUGCAAAUAUGCGUAAACCUAAUUUGAGAAUAUCAAAUCGUCAAAGGGAGACCGUUUUCAAAUAAGAAAAUAAUAAUUUCUCAUAAACAUUUUUUUGUCAUUAAACCUUUAAAUUACAAUGUUUUAGAUACUGAUACUAGUAUAAUAUAAAUAUAUAUUACGCUAUGCGUCAUGUUUUCAUUUUAUGUGAGGUUUAUAAUGAGGAAAAGAUGUGUAUUCCUUGUCUAUUUUAGUAUAAAUGAUAAAAAAAAUAGAAAUUUUGACACUGACUGCCAUAAUAGGGGCCCGCUAUAGUUAGUGAUUCCCUAUAUAUAAUCAACCAAAUGUUUCCCACGAAAGGGGUACCCCCUUAAUCUGCACAUGAACAAACAUGUCUAUUUUGAACAAUUAUCGUGUUUUUAUACAGGAACGGGCUUGUUAAAUUCGACAUUAAAAACUGACUCAGUUAAUUUGGUUUCUAAAAGGAAUUUGAAUCAUGAACUUGUGAUUAUUCCUGGUUCAGAUCAUCCGAGGAAAAAAGAAGCAGGUGUAACAAAUCUGGUAUUUUUUUUUUAUUAAGUUAAGCUUUUUAGUUGAUAUUUUAUAAUGUGACUUUCUAUGUUGUGAUGUAUUACUAUUGUUUCAGAAAAGGGAGAAGGUUUGGUACCAUUAAAACGCUUAAUCCCGCUGCAAAUGUUUGCACCUGUCCUAAGUCAGGAAUCUGAUGUACAGUGGUUGUCCUCUGUUUAUGUAGUUCAUACGUGUUCUCGUUUCUUGUUUUUAUAAAGAUUAGACAGUUGGUUUCCCCCUUUUAAUAGUUUUACCCUAUUAAUUUUUGGGGCCCUUUAUAGCUUGCUGUUCGGUGUUAGUCAAGGCUCCAUGCUGAAGGCCGUACCUUGACCCAUAAUGGUUUACUUUUUAUAAAUUGUUACUUGGAUGGGGGGUUGUCUCAUUGUCACUCAUACCACAUCUCCCUAUAUCCAUUAGGCUAUUUAAUUCUUAAUUUCAACAACAAAAUCAACAUAUUGCAUUGAUGAUACAUGUAUAUGUAGCUAUGAAUUAUAAUUACUUCAAAAGUUUAAGAAAUGCAGUAUGAUUUCCUAUAGGACAACGUUCAAUCGGAGACCAAAGGACAGGGUUGUAAACACUUAAAGGGCACUGUUAAGACUUCACUAAUGAUCAAAACGCAUGUCCUAUAGUUAGAUUUAAAGAGGAGGUCGUGAUGAGAUGACUCACUCUAUUAACUUGUAAAUAAGGUAGAAAUGGAAACAUAGUAUGUUCCUAAUUCGAAUGUACUGCAUAUAACAGUCUAAAUUGGAAAUGCACCAGACUUAAAAAAAAAAAUAGGAUAUCAUUUGAACUGAUUGCAUAAUUAAAGUGAGCAUUGUACUUGCAAUUUAAACUUGUUUAUUUACUCUUUCUAUCAGCAACAGCAACCGCCAACAAGAUAAAAGUCACAACAAAAUCAGGUAAGAAAAAUGUCGGUAUUUCUUUGUUAAAGAUGGAUUGAUAAAUGGAUUUUAACGUUCAGUGGAAAGUUAAAUAUACGUUCAGGACAAGAAAAUGAAAAUGUGAUAUGCAUAUAAACUAUGUAUUGUACUAGACUGACACUCUUAUCCAGAUAUCUGAAAUGUCUAUGAAAAGAAAAUACAAUUAGAUGUUUUAAAGGUUAUGCAGCAUCUAGUCAAUAUUGUGGUUUUUUUUUUCUCUCAAUAAUUCGAUUAUGUCUGUUUUGUUCACGCAUCGUUGUAAAAAUAACGGAAUUUGAUGCGACUGUCAUACAAGUGAGAGGUUUAGUGCUAUAAAACCAGGUUCAAUUUACAAUUUUCUACAUUUGAAAAUGCCUGUACCAAGUCAGGAAUAUGACAGUUGUCCAUUCGUUUGAUGUGUUUUAACAUUUGAUUAGGAACUUUCCGUUUUGAAUUUUCCUCCGAGUUCGGUAUUUUUGUGUGUUUUUUUCUGUUCCAUAGAAAAAUAAAAUAUAUCUGGUAAAGCUUAGUUAAGCUUUAUUCAGUUACUCUCAUGAUGUUCCCUUAUAUUAAAUCGUUAUCCACGAUGUCCGAAUGUUGCUUUUUGGUGACUUUAAACAAACUGCUGGCAUACUAAAUGCAAUCUAAAAGUAGAUUUUUUAUUUAGGGUUGAAAUAAAGUUACGAUAAGAAUUUCCGUCGUUUAAAAUUGACGCUUUAGUGUUUGCUCAAACGGCAAGUGUUAUGAAAAACCUAAUGCUUGAUGUUUAAACGUUAUUAAACAAUUUUAAAUUCUAGAUAUCACAUACAUUUUCAUUUUUUAAGAUACCUAUAAUACUGACUGUGAUGUCUGUUUCCUUUCGGGACAUCUCUGUCACCUUCUUUUGGUUGUUUUAAGUGUGAUACGGUCGGUUUUGCAAAAAGAAAUCGGAAGAUGUAAUAUGAGUGCCAAUGAGACAACUCUCCAUCCAAGUAACAAUUUAAAGUAAACUAUUAUAGGUUAAGUACGGCUUUCAACACGGAGCCUUGGCUUGCACCGAACAGCAAGCUAUAAAGGGCCCCAAAAUGACUAGUGUAAGCNNNNNNNNNNNNNNNNNNNNNNNNNNNNNNNNNNNNNNNNNNNNNNNNNNNNNNNNNNNNNNNNNNNNNNNNNNNNNNNNNNNNNNNNNNNNNNNNNNNNNNNNNNNNNNNNNNNNNNNNNNNNNNNNNNNNNNNNNNNNNNNNNNNNNNNNNNNNNNNNNNNNNNNNNNNNNNNNNNNNNNNNNNNNNNNNNNNNNNNNNNNNNNNNNNNNNNNNNNNNNNNNNNNNNNNNNNNNNNNNNNNNNNNNNNNNNNNNNNNNNNNNNNNNNNNNNNNNNNNNNNNNNNNNNNNNNNNNNNNNNNNNNNNNNNNNNNNNNNNNNNNNNNNNNNNNNNNNNNNNNNNNNNNNNNNNNNNNNNNNNNNNNNNNNNNNNNNNNNNNNNNNNNNNNNNNNNNNNNNNNNNNNNNNNNNNNNNNNNNNNNNNNNNNNNNNNNNNNNNNNNNNNNNNNNNNNNNNNNNNNNNNNNNNNNNNNNNNNNNNNNNNNNNNNNNNNNNNNNNNNNNNNNNNNNNNNNNNNNNNNNNNNNNNNNNNNNNNNNNNNNNNNNNNNNNNNNNNNNNNNNNNNNNNNNNNNNNNNNNNNNNNNNNNNNNNNNNNNNNNNNNNNNNNNNNNNNNNNNNNNNNNNNNNNNNNNNNNNNNNNNNNNNNNNNNNNNNNNNNNNNNNNNNNNNNNNNNNNNNNNNNNNNNNNNNNNNNNNNNNNNNNNNNNNNNNNNNNNNNNNNNNNNNNNNNNNNNNNNNNNNNNNNNNNNNNNNNNNNNNNNNNNNNNNNNNNNNNNNNNNNNNNNNNNNNNNNNNNNNNNNNNNNNNNNNNNNNNNNNNNNNNNNNNNNNNNNNNNNNNNNNNNNNNNNNNNNNNNNNNNNNNNNNNNNNNNNNNNNNNNNNNNNNNNNNNNNNNNNNNNNNNNNNNNNNNNNNNNNNNNNNNNNNNNNNNNNNNNNNNNNNNNNNNNNNNNNNNNNNNNNNNNNNNNNNNNNNNNNNNNNNNNNNNNNNNNNNNNNNNNNNNNNNNNNNNNNNNNNNNNNNNNNNNNNNNNNNNNNNNNNNNNNNNNNNNNNNNNNNNNNNNNNNNNNNNNNNNNNNNNNNNNNNNNNNNNNNNNNNNNNNNNNNNNNNNNNNNNNNNNNNNUAUUCAUAAAAUAAAUAAAAAAAUACACGUUAUAAAUUCCAUGCGCUUAAAGCGCUCUUCUAGAUUUACCUUCAUCAGGAACAAUCUAAGCCGAAUAUCUGAAAGCCAAGGAUGUAUAAGGACCGAACACGUUGAACUGCAUCCGUCUUUUGCCAACUAUGUAUGAGGGAUACAAAUAGAAGGCUUUUAUAUCAAAGGCGACUAAUAUGUAUAAGGUUGAAGGCUGCUAUAUUAAAGACAAAUGAAUAUUUAUAAACAAUGAUGGCUUUUAUUUUAUCAUGUUUAUAUUAAAGUGAAUGUAAGUAGAUUUACAGAAGGGACGUAUAUGCAACCGAGUAAAGUCAUCAGGGGCGUAGCUAGGUAUUCAUUCAACUGUAGGCACCAAUCGGCCGGGGAUCUGGGGUUCGCUUAAGGCCCCCAGCAGGUCCAGGGCAGAGCCCUGGUAGGGUUCAGGUGAAGCCCCCGACGGAAAACGGGUUUUGCGUUUUAGCUGCAAAAUUUUAUGUCAAAAGUAUAAUUGCUGGUUAUUUAAUCAUGAUAAUUAAAAUAUACAUGAUGAAAAUUCGAAGAAUUGAAUAAUGUAUCAAUAACUCUGAAUGGCUAUGAAAUAACGCAGUACAUCCGUAAUAUAAAAAAAAAAUUUUACAAUAUGCAUUGCCAGCGUAGAUCAGCGUAUCCCUUUAAUUAAGCAGUAACCUGUUUGGUAUUAUCAUAUUAUUCGUUCUGAUUGAUAUAUACGUUUAACUUAAUUAAAAAAUACAUAUUGACUUCUUCAUAAAAAAAAUAGGCACGUAAAAUGAUACUACUAUAUAAUAGAACUACCUUUGGCUAGACAUCCCAUCAAUCUUUGAUCUUAACCUUCACCCUAGCACACAACACAUACAGACAUAGCCUCGAAUGCCUAACAAAAAUUCAAGAAUUGUAUUUCUUUAAAUCCUCUACUGUUAAAAUCCCUACCUCCUUAAAUUUAAAUAAUUGUGGCCAUUACACGCAGAAAAAUUACUGGAAGCCAGUUGGUUGAUUGAUUUUUCUAAAUCCAGUGUCAAAUAUUUAUGCAAGUUCAGGGCCGUUGAAAUUUUUUUUCUAAAUACAACGUGAGCUAGGUCCUUAAAUUGUUGUCCAGACGAAGGUCUGGAAAUUUUAAGAAUGCCAUGCAUUGGAAAUGAGGGAUUAUUGGAUAGGAGCAGAAAUUUUGCCUUUCAGUAGACCAACUACGGACUCGUCAAAGAUUUGCUUCUCUCUACAACUAGGCAUCGGAUUUAAUGUCCCCAUUCUGACCAGACGUGACUGCGUAUUUAUACAUCCUGCACAGCCAAAGGAAGCCAACAUUGGCCCGCAGUUUGGUGAAGACAAAGUGGAAAGCUGUUGAAAAUUACAACACCUAAUUAAAAAACUCAUGUGUCUAAGUUGAGGUUCAUUCAAGUUUUUGUUGAUAGAAGUGAAAUAUGAUCUGAACCAAAGUUCUAGUUUAUAGUUUCUAUAUAAGGUAAAAUCGUAAAAACAUUCAAUUCUAUCCAAUAUUUCAUUCACUAAGGACGAGAGACUAGUGUACACAUGACAUUCGAUAAUUAAAGAGUUUUGAAAACUUCAAUGGCUUAAUUUCAUCUACAUAUAACGUUGUUUAUUAUUUUUUUUAAAAAAACAUAUUUGUGAAAAAAUUAUGUGUAGGCACGUGCCUAAAGUGCCUAACGGCAGCUACGCCCCGGGUCAUUAUAUAGUCUGCAACAAUAAAUAGAGCAUGUCUAUAAGAUGUAUCAAGGUAUACAUAAAUUAAGAAAUGCCUAAGAAACAAUUUAUUGCCAAAUGACCAGCAUGUCGUGUAGAUUUGGGUAUAGAAAGCGGACUCCAGGAGCAUUUUUGUUUAAUUGUUUUAGUUCUAGAUUUUUCUGAAAAUAAGCAUUUUUGUGUUACGCUCACUGAAACAGUUUAGAGGGUAACAUUUUUAAUGAACCCAUAAGAAACAAAAUUAAAAAAUCUCAACUGCUUCCUUCCAUUCUUUAUGAAAAAAAAAAAAAACCGUCAAAAAUCAUAAUUUUCGUCUUUGUUUACAUAUUUUCGAUGAUCACCAGUACCGGUCAGGACCAAAUCACCAACACAGAACGUUUUCUCGCAGGACAACCUUACCCACUGUGUGACUAGUAUUUAAAAUAUUGUGUAUAAAACUGCAAUAGUUAAAACAGUUCAGGAAAAGCACCUUGCUAGUACUAUAUAAUGAACAAAGACAAACUUGAUCCAAACAAUGUUCAACAAUAUUUUCAAAGAAUAAACUCAUUUGACUAAAAGCACGCUCAAUGUGCGAUUUUUCCCCCUUGUUUUUAUUACCGAUCGUUGUACUUCGGAGUAGAUUCAAUUUCAUACAGCAACGUCAUAACCUGUACAGAAGUAAAACCACACAACAAUCAUGUGAUAUACUCAGAACGACAUGUACAAAUCUCAAAUUCAGAACAAACCAAAGUGAUAUUUUAAUCUUUUAAAGCCAUUACUAUGCGAUUUGAUGGUCCUGUUGAAAUAAAUCAAAUAUUUACCGGAUUAUCGAGUAGCAAAACGUAAAAUAACAAAACAAAACAAAAACUCUAAAGAAAAAGUCCUUAAACCAAAUGUAAAAACCAAAAGCCAGAAAAAAAACCCCCCCAAAAACACCCCAAAACAGGUGCACCACAGGGUGAUGCUUUAUACGACUGCAGUUAUCAAACCUUUAACAAUUGGGGCAAGUAUGGACACACCAUUCAAGUGUGAUACCACUCUGAAUUUGGAUUGUGUUAAAUUUUUGACAUAAUAUGCGUUUCUGACACAAAAGAAAUGUCAAGAUCUUACAAAUCUAUUGCGCAAUUAAAAUUUCUUCUUCAAACUUUUCAAAAAUUUGGAAUUUGAGAAAUUUGGAAAAAAUAUUGAAAACUACUACUGCCACCCUUUUUUGCAAUUAGUCCAAAACCUGACAUUCCUUAAUUUACAAGAAAUAUAAGGGAGGAUAUCUGAAAAUACCCAACAUUGUAUGUUAAAUGUUAUUGAAUUACCUCCCUUAGACUGCUUUUAAAUUGACUUAAUUGUCCAUUGACCGUGCAAGGGCUGUAUAGCCAGUCAAGGUCGUUAAAAACUUCCAUUUGUUGUUGACCAGAAAAACCUCAAGAGUCUAUCCUAAAUUGAGGUAAGUUAUAAUACCCUCCAAAUGUGGUUUACCAUCUUUGCCUCAAGUUUAUUGUUUUAUGUUUGGUAGUUAAUUAGUAUAAAGAUCCAUUUGUUACAUCUUAUGAUCUAUUCAAUUGGCAAUCGCCAAUGGCAGUCAGCAGGCUUUAAGAACAUCAGAUGUUCGACCUGUUAGUCAAAUGCGUUUAGUCUUCUUUGGUCUUUUGGAAAAUAUUAUUUGUGCUGUAUUUAGACCCCUCUUAAAGAAUUCUAUUUUACAUGCACACGUAUAACAAUUGUAGUUUUUAUCAGGAGUUCUUUGGUAUCUAGACAGUUGUGUAUCAUAUAUUAUCUUGUAUUGUAUUUUUAAGUGUCAGCAAUAUUCUGAUGGGUACGCCCCUUGCAGUAAAAAAAUUCGGAUAGGUCAAUUUUACCCAUGAAAGCCCAUCCACUCAAUAUGAACAGAAACUCUACAUCUGAUAGUUCUUAAUUUUUAGAUCUGACAGGCCGUUUUUCAUGAUGUUUUUUCCGAUACAUAUAUAAAAACAAAUCUCCCCAUCCAUCCCAGCCUGUCAGAAAUUAACUGAAAUGGCCCAACGGAUACUGAUAGCCUUUUUAGAAUUUACACCACUUUCUAGCACUGCCCAAAAUUCUACAUGCACAGGUUACUAAAGUACUUUUAUUUUAAUAUUCAGAAAUUAAUUCAAAUAUGUAUCAUAACCAUUUACUUGUUCAGCAAUCUUUAAAAUCCUUAGGCCACAUAGGUCUUUUAUGAUUUUAUCAUGCAGUGAAUACAAAAUUCACAAAAAUUAGCAAAAAUUCAUUUUCAUCUGUAUGUAAAAUUAUUUAAUAUUUUUUUUCUAUACCUGAUUCAUCCCUCAGUUUUGGGAAGUGUGUUCAGUUGAAACUAUAUAUUUUUUUGUCCAAUCACUGCACUUUUCAGAUACAUUGACUAGGUCAAAAUGUAGGUAGGGUACAUAAACAUGAUAAAAAAGAGCAACCUAAAUUCCAAAUGCAAAUACAUUGUGCUAGUACUACAAUUACAUGUACAAAUGUAUAUGUUUUUUCACCAGCGUCUGUCCUAAAAUGAAUUUCUGGACCUGAUUUCAUAGGGAAAUUGUAGGAAACAAAUAAUAUCUAUUUACAUUUAAAACAAACUAAAUUAUUUAUUAUUAUGACACGUUUUAACAAAUAGUCUACAAUACAAUGUAAAUAAAAACAAAAAUUAGAAUACCAGAAUCUCUGGGACAACAAGUCACUCUAAACAUUUAUAAUUAUGAGAGAACAACAAAGACAAUAAAUAAAUAUAAAAUAUUUACAUAGCAUGCAUUUGAUGUUUUUCUCAGCUGUUCACAAAGUAUACAUAUUUUUCUCUGUAAUCAACAUUGGGAUUUGAAAGAAUAUUUAUUUUCAUUUUUUUUUUUAAAGUUUGAGCAUGUAAUGUAAUCAGUAACUUAUUGUAAUAAAUUGCUUUGCCGAGCACAUUUAACAGUUUGAAGAAAAAUGGACAUAAUAUUUGUGAUUAAUACAUGCAUGCAGGUCUGAAUUUGGAUUAUAAUUUAAUAAUUAAAUAUUUGACACAUAUAGGUUUCUGACACAGAAUAACUGUAGUCAUUACAGUCUGCACGGUUAGCCACUAGUCCGAUGCCCCAGACUAGUAAAAUUUCUUUCAGACUAGUAAGUUUUCGCAAAACUUUGUUUGGACCAAUAAGAAAAAUGUCAGAAUAUUUGUCUUCGGACUAGUAGUUGAAAAAGUUUUUGGUGCAGACUUAGUCAAAGAACUUACAUGUAUAUAUACCGUAAUUAAAAUUGGUUUAUAUAUGAUUUGAACUUAUAUUCACUUUUUUGCUUGUGUUGACAAAUUGACAAUGCCCCCCCCCCCCCCCCCCCAAAAAAAAAUUAAAUUAUCCCCCUUUUUAUGUUUUUGUGUAAUACACUAUGCUGUUGCAAAUUAAUGCCCCAUAAAAAAAUAAAAAAGUUAUUUGGAGAAAUUUUCUGAAAUCUUGAGGAGUAACAUUUGUACCCCCCAUUUUUUCACCACACUCUCCUUUUUAAAUAAGGAAAAAUUCUUUCCCUUUACCACAUACUCCUGCUUCUUCACUUUUGUAAGCUUCAACAUGUUCAAGUUUUUCACCAUUAUCAGGAUUAUGUGUUCUCCUGUGUCUUAGAUAUUGACUAUAGUCACCAAACCGUUUACUACAUACAUCACAUGUGUAAGGCUUUUCACCAGUGUGUGUUCUCAUGUGUCUAUUGUAGCCACUAGUGUAAUCAAACCCUUUACCACAGACAUAGCAUAUGUAAGGCUUUUCACCAGUAUGUGUUCUCAUGUGUCUAUUCGUACCUAAUAGUGUCAUUAAACCCUUUACCACAUACAUCACAUGUGUAGGGUUUUAUAGCAUUAUGAAUUCGCAUGUGUCUAUGGUAAUGACUGUUUUCACUUAACUGUUUCCCACAUACAUCACAUGUGUAAGGCUUUUCACCUGUAUGAGUUCUUUUGUGUCUAUUAAAAGAACUGUGGUCCUUAAACCCUUUACCACAUACAUCACAUGUAUAAGGUUUCUCACCCGUAUGAAUUCUCAUGUGUGUAUUAUAGUGACUGCUGUUUUUAAAGCCUUUACUACAUACAUGACAUAUGUAAGGUUUUUCACCUGUAUGAAUUCUCUUGUGUCUAACGUAGGAACUGUUGUCCUUAAACCCUUUACCACAUACAUCACAUGUGUAAGGUUCCUCGCCAGUAUGAGUUCUCAUGUGCCUAACACAAGAACUGUUAUGGCGAAACAUUUUCCCACAAACAUCGCAUUUGUAAGGUUUAUCACCAGUAUGUAUUCUCAUGUGUCUAAUAAAGCUGCUUUGAUACACGAACUCUAUUUUACAAAUAUCACAUUUGUAAGGUUUUUCACCUGAAUGAGUUCUUCUGUGUAUGUCACAAGCCUGACGUGCAAUAAACCCUUUACCACAUACAUCACAUUUAUAAGGCCUUUCACCCGUAUGAAUUCUCAUGUGUCUAAGACAAGCACUGUUGGUGUCAAACUCUUUACCACAUUCAUCACAUUUGUAAAGUUUAUCACCAGUAUGUAUUGUCAUAUGUCUAUAAUAGUGACUUUCGUCACUGUACCCUUGACUACAUAUAUCACAUGUGUAACGUUUAUCAUCCAUAUUAAUUCUUGUGUGAAUGUUGAGUGAUCUGCAGUCUUUACCUUUACCACAUACAAGACAUGGAGAAUAUGUAUUAUCAGUAUCCAUUCUAAAGUAUGUGUAUAAAGCCCCACUUGAAAUACACCUUCUACCACAUUCUUUAAAUUUAACAGGUUUAUUGCCGAUGGUAUGUGUUCUCCGUUGCCUUUAUUUCUCCUAUGAUUCUGUAUGUGUAUCAAACCCAACUUGAACUAUACCUGCUACCACAUUCUUUGACAGGUUUAUCGCCAAAGGUAUAUUCUCUCCUGUCGUUAAAAAUGUAUUUUCCUGUGAUUCUGUAUGUGUAUCAAGUCCAACUUGAACUAUACCUUCUCUGUUGCCUUUAUUUCUCCUCUGAUUCUUUGAGAUAAAGCUUUGAAUAAAUUGUUGCCCACAUAAUAAGUACAUCUUUUUAAAUAGUGUAUUAUCUGGACAUCUUACUCAUGUUUAAUGUUUCUAUGUGAGUUCUACCUCAUGUUUAAUGUUUCUUUGUGAGUUCUAUCUCAUGCUCAUGUUUAAUGCAUAUGUUUCUCUGUGGGUUCUACCUCAUGUUUAAUGUUUCUCUGUGAGUUCUAUCUCAUGUUUAAUGUUCUCUGUGAGUUCUCCCUCAUGUUUAAUGUUUCUCUACGAGUUCUACAUCAUGUUUAAUGUUUCUCUGCAUGAAAUGGUCUGCUAUUUCACAGUUUUGUUUUCUUUAUUUAACAGUCUCUUACACUCUCGUCAUGGAUAACAUGGAUAAUACAUGUAAUUAUCUGAAAACAUGAAAAAAAUAUAUCAUUUAAUUUUAAAGCGAAAAAAAAUGUGUCUACAAAUAUAUUAACAAACAUUACAACCCUAAUUAUGUUUAAUGUGAUUUUUUUCACGAUAUUAGCUCAAAAAUGGUCAAAAAUUGGUGAAAAUGGGAAAAUCAUCAAAAUUGGGUACUUUCAAAGGGUGUAAAAAAAGAAGUGCACCCUCAUACAUGUAUGAUUUUUUUCUUUGCCAUAUACAUUUAUAUAUAUUCUUAGCAGUCCAGGCACACAGGAAGUCCAUGUGUAUUUAUAUAAAAAAUGGGGGGUAGACCUUUAUCAGGACUCCAGGACCAGGUGUUUUAAAGCUUGGGAUUUCUGAAUUGGUCCUUUUGGGAUCCAGGAAUUCUUUUUUUCGAAUUUCGAUGUCGGGUUUUAAAUUCUUUAAAGUGUGGGACCUCAGCAUUUCAUGUUUUAAAACCUGGGAUUUCUGGAUUAAGACCACUUACAUAGUUAAGACAAAAAGUUUAAUUCAGGAAUGUGUCCCAGAAAAAAAAUUAAAAUAGCCUUGCCAGACGUCAUAAUACACCUUAUCGGUAUUUGCCCGCCAUUACUGGAUAUCACACAGGUUCCCGUAAAAUUUUGACGUCACAAUAUCCAGGUGUGUUGAUAAGUCGUUAUCCUAAGGCUAUUUUUUUCUUAUUUUUUCUGUAGACUUAGCUUUCAUUUUUUAUUACAUGUACCAUGCAUUGUCAAGCUUGGUAACUCAUAAUUGUUUCUCAGUAACUCAAUGUACGAUGCUGUCCCAUACUUAACCUUCUGACCUUGUUUGUUUACAUUCAAAUUUCAAUGGCGUCAAAAUCAUGUGAUGUCAAAUCGUUAUACCCAAUCAAAUUGCUCUACUGUCAAUUAAGGGAUUUUUCAGUCUACGGCAAUUGCGUUAUUUCUUUGUGGGAUAUUGCUUUAAAAUAGUUUGCAAUAAUUUGGGGUUUUAUUCAAUAGGAAACCUCAUUUUUUUACAUCCCUUUCGACAUCAAUGGAAUUUUGAAUGAAUAUUUACCUACAGUCAUGAUGGUUAGAACAAGGAUUUGUAUAGUAAGACUUACUAUACAAAUCCUUGGUUAGAAUAUCGAUCUUUUCAUUAUGAAUAAUAAAAAAAAUCCAUGAAAAAUAAAUGUAAAUUGUUUUUUAUUAACCUACUCUAUAUUCCUAUACAAAAUUAUGGCAUGGACAUCGUUUUUUCAUAUAGUUUUCCUCUCAUUUUGGUUGGGCUUUUAUCGCGGGAAAAUCACGAAAGACAUAAGGAGCAUGUCAUUUUAAAAUUCUUAAAAAUACGAUUUGCUUGACCUGUAUUGCCUGCCACAAGAUUGAUGACGCUGAAUGGAAUAUACACAAAGCAAUGGAGGCCGGAAGUUGGAUUUUGUGAAGUUCUAGAAUGUUUUUAGACAUUCAGAAGUCGGGAUUGAAACGGGCAUUAGAAAAUUGGCAUUUUUUAGCAAUAAUUGAGAACAACAUUGAAAACUUACCUUAAGAAAUAUUUUAUUAUUCAAAAGUGCAGAAAAAACGUAUUCUGCACUGUUUUUCUAUCAGUCAGGAGAUUUACUGAAAUAAGUGAUUUUUAAAUCACUUAUUUGAGUAGCAAAUUCGAGGUUUUGUCACAAAUUGGGAUUUUGUAGUUUUUUCAAAAUUUUAAAAACAUAGGUUUAAAUAACAUCUUUUAAUUAGUAAAAUUAAAAAAUAUGAACUUUUUGCUUCUUUUAAGUAGCAAGGUUUAAUGCCUUUGAUGCUAUCAUUUACCUGAAAAUUCUAUUUUAGUUGAAAAAAUGCUAUAAUAAUGGCUUUACAUAAUGAACUGAUACUUUCUUAAAAGAUUUUUCACAGCAGUGGGAGUAUUUUUCCUGUGAAGUUCAAGGUUUCAUCUUUCAGAUUAUGUAAUAAAAUUCUACUGUUCGCGAUAAAAAUUUCACUGUUCGGGGGUGUUGAAAUUAGUGGGGGUUAUUAAAAGAAUGAUACUUAAAGAAGUGAUUUUUGGGAAGGAAAUUGAGGUUUGAUACUUAAACAAGUGAUUUUUAUGUCAUUAUCCUAGAUUCAGUACAAGGUCAUCACCUGAAAUGACCUGGUCAUCCUAGACAACACAGAUGUUGGUUCUGAUAAGUUUAGAAACAUAAUUAGUCCCUGGAUCAUUAGUAUUCUAUAUUUAAAGCUACACUAAUAUUAAAUCACUUCUUCUAGUGAUUAAUUUGUACUACUUAAAUAGGUGAUUAUUAAAGAAAGACAACUCUAACUUCCAACCUUUAUGGAAAUAAUGUUACUUGAAUCAGUGAUUUAGAAAAUCACUUGUUUAAGUAAGUCCCUUGACU